GUGGGGAAUAUUGGGCAAUGGGCGAAAGCCUGACCCAGCAACGCCGCGUGAAGGAAGAAGGUUUUCGGAUCGUAAACUUCUAUCCUUGGUGAAGAUAAUGACGGUAGCCAAGAAGGAAGCCCCGGCUAACUACGUGCCAGCAGCCGCGGUAAUACGUAGGGGGCAAGCGUUGUCCGGAAUGAUUGGGCGUAAAGGGCGCGUAGGCGGCCCGGUAAGUCUGAAGUGAAAGUCCUGCUUUUAAGGUGGGAAUUGCUUUGGAUACUGUCGGGCUUGAGUGCAGGAGAGGUAAGCGGAAUUCCCGGUGUAGCGGUGAAAUGCGUAGAGAUCGGGAGGAACACCAGUGGCGAAGGCGACUUACUGGACUGUAACUGACGCUGAGGCGCGAAAGUGUGGGGAGCAAACAGGAUUAGAAACCCUAGUAGUCC
rnacentral:rRNA from 1 species